UUCACCCCACCCUUGAAGAAUGAGUGGCCGGAGAAGUGAUGAUUGGCGUGCUUAAAACCCAAUCAUAAACGGAGGAGGGGGGGAUGGUCUAGCGGGGGCGCGUUAAUGGGUACCUCGGCCAGUCCCAGACACAUCCGGGUCUUCGACAGCCCAUUAAGUGUCGGGGGUCAAAAAAUCGCUUCAGGCUGCAACUUUACCUUAGAGACGUUUUGGUCCCCAGGCAGCCGCCGUACCCCAGUCUCUCCAAACCGGGAUUCCCCUUUGGCCAGCUCUCAUUCUUUCAAUUCUAAAGAUGGAGACUGGCGAACGGCGCUGGGGUCUGAGGUGGGCGGUGUUUCGUCGCGACAGAAUCUAGGAAAUUUCACGAUAGAACUAGCUUUAGGCGUUUGGGCCUUGCCGUCUUUUUGGGGUGUGGCCUGUCUCCGUCUGCCAAAGGCUUUGAGCUUCCUGGUGUUCAUCGUACCUCCGCUUGGUGCUGUCGUGACUAAACCACGACAGCAGGGGAAAAAAAAAGGCAGCUAGCCAAGUUGCUGAGGAAUUACGGUGUGCAGAGCCCUCGCAGCUCCUUCUCUUGGGAACUCCUGGUCUGGUUAGGUUCUCAGCGAGGAAACAGCCUCCCACCCCGCCCGAUUCCACCUAAUCAACUCAAGGGCCAGCUCCUCUUGCUGGCCUCCCUGCUUCCACGGAGCAGUUAGGCCCUCCUAAACUCAGCGUUUCUGGAGCAUCUUGAGGAUGGGGAUCAAUCCAGUGCAUUAUUUGCUAUCUGAAAUGCCAUCCUUCAAGGGCUUCGAGGAGAUAGGAAAAACAUGGUGGUAUAUACCAGCCCGAGGAAGAUAAAAGUAGGCCGAGAAAAUACUUCUCAACAAGACGAAAAUUAGGCCAUGGAGGGGGACUGUCAAUCUGGAAUGAUCGAGCUUUAAGGAAGACAAGUACGUGAGGAGAAAAAAAGAGAGAGCUCUUAAGUGGACCAAAGGGAUAAGGAAAGUGAUGCAUGUUUUCCUGAUGUCCACAUGCAGCAAGUCCCUUAAUCUUUGCCCCUGCCUUCCUGGUGCUGUUGCCAGGCUGAGACCCUGGUUGGAGGAAUAGUGCCUGCAGCUAGAGCAACUAAGGCAGCCUAGGAUGACUGCCAGGAUGCAUGAGGGCUGCCAACACCAACUGCUGGGGAGAUGAUUGUCAUCCCUGUGGAGGUAUGGAGAAGGUUGGUGGGGGAAGGUGGAAGAGAGGAAAUAAGGCAGAGAUGAGCUCAGGGCCCCCAGAGAAUGGAGCCUUUGUGUGGGGUACAGAUGAGGGACAAGGGGGUGAUUGUGUGGGAGGGCCGGAAGUGCCACACAGACUGGCACCACCAUAGCCAGCACCAGAUUCACCCUUCUCCUGCUCUGAGAACUCCCUGUGCCUCAAGGAGCCAGUCUCAGACAUGGUCAGGGGAAGCAGGGUAUGCCUGAACACUAUAAAGGAUGGGAAGGUGGAAAAGCAGAUGUAUAGCCGGGGGAAAAUGAAAGAUAUCUCCGUAUUACCCCAGACCCAGGGAACAGGAGGCCGAAGGAAAAAGACAGAAGCAGCUUUUACUAUAUUUACAUCCAACAAAACUUCGCAGGGAACAAUCCUUAUUGCACAGGUCAGGACCUGGGUGGGUGAGGCAUUCCCCAAGGUGGGAUGGGCAAGAAAAAUUAGGACUGGAGGGGGUACCAGUUCUUCCUAAGGGGAGCUUGAGAUGCCUCUAGCUCCCAAUGCCUGACUUUGGAGGAAUUACAAACCACCGAACCAUGGUGCCCUAUUUCCCUUCCCUUUCUCACUCUCCAUAAGAACCUCAUAAGCAAGGGGGCUGUGGCUCCAGAAUAAAUAACUUAAAAUAAAA